rnacentral:rRNA from 1 species
GGACUACUGGGGUAUCUAAUCCCGUUUGCUCCCCUAGCUUUCGCGCCUCAGCGUCAAGAACAGGCCAGGAAGUCGCCUUCGCCACUGGUGUUCCUCCCGAUAUCUACGCAUUUCACCACUACACCGGGAAUUCCACUUCCCUCUCCUGCCUUCGAGUCGAUCAGUAUCGCGUGACCCUCCCCAGUUGAGCCGGGGGCUUUCACACGCGACUUGAACGACCGCCUGCGCGCUCUUUACGCCCAGUAAAUCCGGACAACGCUUGCCACCUACGUAUUACCGCGGCUGCUGGCAC